UGAAGAUAUUAAGGGCACACGGUGGAUGCCUUGGCAUAGGAAGCCGAAGAAGGACGUGGCAAGCUGCGAAAAGCCGCGGUGAGGCGCAAACAGCCUCUGACCCGCGGAUCUCCGAAUGGGGGAACCCGGCUGGGGGAAUGCCCAGCCACGGCAGGGUGAAUGCAUAGCCCUGCCCGAGGCAACCCGGGGAACUGAAACAUCUAAGUACCCGGAGGAAAGGAAAUCAACCGAGACUGCGCGAGUAGCGGCGAGCGAAAGCGCAACAGCCUAAACCCGUGCGCGUGUAAGCCUCCAGGCGUUGCCGCACGUGGGGUCGUGGGACUCUCCGUCCCGUCGCUGGAGCGGCGGGGUCGGGUCAGAAACCGACGGUUCAGGGGAACCGGCUGGGAAGCCGGGCGAGACAGGGUGAGAGCCCCGUACCCGAAGGACCGUCGGCCCGAGAGAGAGCGCCCGAGUAAUGCCGGACACGUGAAACCCGGUAUGAACCAGGGGGGACCGCCCUCCAAGGCUAAGCACUCUCCUAUGACCGAUAGCGAACCAGUACCGUGAGGGAAAGGUGAAAAGCACCCCGAGAGGGGAGUGAAACAGUACCUGAAACCGUGUGCCUACAAGCAGUCGGAGCACCCUUUGCGGUGUGACGGCGUGCCUUUUGUAGAAUGAGCCAGCGAGUUGCGGUUGGCGGCGAGGUUAAGGCAUGAACCGAGCCGCAGUGAAAGCGAGCCUUUAAGAUGGCGCUCAGUCGCCAGCCGCGGACGCGAAGCCGGGUGAUCUAUCCAUGGGCAGGCUGAGGCAGAGGUAAGACUCUGUGGAGGGCCGAACCCACUUCGGUUGAAAACGGAGGGGAUGACCUGUGGAUAGGGGUGAAAGGCCAAUCAAACCCGGAGAUAUCUCGUUCUCCCCGAAAUAGCUUUAGGGCUAGCCUCGAUCGCUUACCCGCGGUGGUAGAGCACUGGAUCCGUGAGGGGGCCUCAACAGCCUACCGACCGAAACCAAACUCCGAAUGCCGCGGGUCCCGAGAUCGGGAGUCAGAACAUGUGGGCUAAGCCGUGUGUUCGAGAGGGAAACAGCCCAGACCGCCUGCUAAGGUCCCCAAAUCAACGCUGAGUGGCAAAGGAUGUGCGUUUGCCUAGACAACCAGGAUGUUGGCUUAGAAGCAGCCAUGCAUUUAAAGAGUGCGUAACAGCUCACUGGUCAAGUGGACAUGCGCCGACAAUACACGGGGCUAAGCGUUGUACCGAAGCAGCGGACUGUUUUAUCAGUGGUAGGGGAGCUUUCCAUGCCGGGCCGAAGCGGAGAGGCGACUCUCCGUGGACUGCAUGGAAGUGAGAAUGCUGGCAUGAGUAACGAGAGAGGGGCGGGAAACCCCUCCGCCGUAAGCCUAAGGUUUCCUGGGCAAGGCUAAUCCCCCCAGGGUCAGUCGGGAGCUAAGGCGAGGCCGAGAGGCGUAGCCGAUGCGCAACAGGCGGACAUUCCUGUACCACCAGCCAUCGUUUGACGACGGGGCGACGGAGAAGGGUAGCCGGGCGGGGUUCUGGACGUCCCCGUGAAAGCGCGUAGGGAGCGGCUCAGGCAAAUCCGAGCCGCGCAUGUCCCGAGACGCGAGACGAAGCUUUUAGUGAAGCCGGCGAGCCCAUGCUUCCAAGAAAAACCCCUAAGGAGAGGGGCUGGUGCCCGUACCAAAACCGACACAGGUAGGCGGGUAGAGCAUACCAAGGCGAUCGGGAGAACCAUGGUUAAGGAACUCGGCAUACCGACCCCGUAACUUAGGGAGAAGGGGUGCCCCCGGGGGUGGAAGGACUUGCUCCUCGAGCCCGUGGGGGUCGCAGUGAAGAGGCCCAAGCGACUGUUUACCAAAAACACAGGACUCUGCCAAGCCGCAAGGCGAAGUAUAGGGUCUGACGCCUGCCCGGUGCUGGAAGGUUACGCGGAUGAGUUAGCGCAAGCGAAGCCCUGAAGCCAAGCCCCAGUAAACGGCGGCCGUAACUAUAACGGUCCUAAGGUAGCGAAAUUCCUUGUCGGGUAAGUUCCGACCUGCACGAAUGGCGUAACGACUUGGGCGCUGUCUCAACCAUGGACCCGGUGAAAUUGUAUUAUUCGUGAAGAUGCGAAUUACCUGCGGAAGGACGGAAAGACCCCGUGAACCUUUACUGCAGCUUGGCAUUGGCUGUUGGUGCGGUGCGUAGAGGAUAGGCAGGAGCCUGCGAACCGGGGACGCCAGUUCCCGGGGAGGCGACCUUGGAAUACUGCCCUCACCGCAUCGGCAGCCUAACGCGCCGCCCUCAUCGGGGGCGCGGACCGUGCCAGGUGGGUAGUUUGACUGGGGCGGUCGCCUCCUAAACUGUAACGGAGGCGUGCUAAGGUUCGCUCAGGGCGGUCGGCAAUCGCCCGCAGAGCACAAGAGUACAAGCGAGCCUGACUGCGAGACCAACAAGUCGAGCAGAGACGAAAGUCGGUUCUAGUGAUCCGGCGGCCCGGCGUGGAACGGCCGUCGCUCAACGGAUAAAAGGUACUCCGGGGAUAACAGGCUGAUCUUGCCCAAGAGUCCACAUCGACGGCAAGGUUUGGCACCUCGAUGUCGGCUCAUCGCAUCCUGGGGCUGUAGCAGGUCCCAAGGGUUGGGCUGUUCGCCCAUUAAAGCGGUACGCGAGCUGGGUUCAGAACGUCGUGAGACAGUUCGGUCCCUAUCCUCCGUGGGCGCAAGAGAAUUGAGAGGAUCUGUCCCUAGUACGAGAGGACCGGGAUGGACGCACCUCUGGUGCCGCAGUUGUCGACCAACGGCACAGCUGCCUAGCUACGUGCGGUACGGAUAACCGCUGAAAGCAUCUAAGCGGGAAGCCGGCCUCGAGAUGAGUUCUCUUUUCGGUAAGGCCACUUCUAGACCAGGAGUUCGAUAGGCCGCAGCUGCAAGCCCUGCGAGGGGCUCAGGCGAGCGGUACUAAUCGGCCGAGCUCUUCAUCAA
rnacentral:rRNA from 1 species